CUUUUACUUCUUAUAACAUUGUUCACGAGUAUAGGAGCUCGAAUUUCGAGGCUCACAAUCUCGCUAGGCAUGCACUUUCUUUAGGGUUUGGCCGCCAUGUUUGGUUAGGCCAACCCGGAGACUUGAAUUUUAUUCCUGUAAAUAUUGGAACAGUUUGAAUAAAGCCUGGCGAGAAUGUCUAAAAAAACCUGGUUGUCUUCCAUCUCCGCUCGGUCUCCUCCUCCUACACGUCAGCGCCGCCACUGCAGGGUCGAACCACGCUCGAUUCGCCCCGAUCCCUAACCCCCUCCAUCGAAUCCGUGGGCACAUAUCGACUCCUCUUGAUCCCGUCGACCGAUUCCAGAACUGAGUGCUCGCGACCAGCCUCGAUUUCGAGCUCCUCGAUCUCGCCAGUCUCCGCUUCGCCAUCAAGCUUCGCCGGUCGAUGCCGUCGCCUACAGAGAGCACCAGAUCGAGCACACGCAUCAAGAACUGAAGCUCCAGAACUCCGCCGGAAUUCGUGUGCAUUGCCACCGCCGCCCUACGAAGAGAUCGCCGUCGUCGUCUACAUCAGAGCCACUUCCGUACCAUGCCUCACCCGCGCGUCAUCUCUGCAUCACGGGAGAAUACACCCGAAGCCACCACCAUCUUCCUCUGUUUCUGGUGACCGCGCGUGCAGAGUCACUUUGGCCAAUCACGUGAUGACACGUGGCGAUAUGUUACAGUAGUCGCAUAUCAAAAAUAAUAUUUUGGACAGAUUUUCACCUAUCUUUUUUCGUUUAGCUAUAUCUCCUGAUCUGUUUAGUCAAAUUGAGUGAUUCUUUUUUCCUGUGUAAUCGUGUUGAUCAGUAGAACUAUUUAAAUUUGAGCAA